rnacentral:rRNA from 1 species
GGGAUUGCCUUAGUAACGGCGAGUGAAGCGGCAACAGCUCAAAUUUGAAAUCUGGCCCCUUCGGGGUCCGAGUUGUAAUUUGUAGAGAGUGUUUCGGGGGAGACCGCGGUCUAAGUCCAUUGGAACAUGGUGUCAUAGAGGGUGAGAAUCCCGUAUGUGACCGUGGAUCGAACCCAUGUGAAGCCUCUUCGACGAGUCGAGUUGUUUGGGAAUGCAGCUCAAAAUGGGGUGGUAAAUUUCAUCUAAAGCUAAAUACUGGCUGGAGACCGAUAGCGCACAAGUAGAGUGAUCGAAAGAUGAAAAGCACUUUGGAAAGAGAGUUAAACAGUACGUGAAAUUGUUGAAAGGGAAGCGCUUGCAACCAGACCUGCCCGUAGGCGAUCAGCCGCUGUUCUCAGCGGUGCACUCGCGCUGCGUUCAGGCCAGCAUCGGUUUCGGCGGUCGGAUAAAGGCCUUGGGAAUGUAGCUUCCUUUCGGGGGAGUCUUAUAGCCCUCGGUGCAAUGCGGCCAGCCGGGACCGAGGACCGCGCUUCGGCUAGGAUGCUGGCGUAAUGGUUGCAAGCGACCCGUCUUGAAACACGGACCAAGGAGUCUAACAUCUAUGCGAGUGUUUGGGUGUCAAACCCAUGCGCGGAAUGAAAGUGAACGGAGGUGAGAACCCUUAAGGGCGCAUCAUCGACCGAUCCAGAUGUCUUCGGAUGGAUUUGAGUAUGAGCAUAGCUGUUGGGACCCGAAAGGCAAGAGCUCACUCCCCUUUGUAUAUUUUUGUAUGGAAUCCUAAGCUAACAUUUUUUAUAGAUGGUGAACUAUGCCUGAAUAGGGUGAAGCCAGAGGAAACUCUGGUGGAGGCUCGCAGCGGUUCUGACGUGCAAAUCGAUCGUCAAAUUUGGGUAUAGGGGCGAAAGACUAAUCGAACCA